rnacentral:rRNA from 1 species
UACAGAGGGUGCAAGCGUUAAUCGGAAUUACUGGGCGUAAAGCGUGCGUAGCCGGUUAUGUAAGUCAGAUGUGAAAGCCCCGGGCUUAACCUUGGAACUGCACUUCUAACUACCGGGCUAGAGUGUGUCAGAGGAUGGUGGAAUUCCCGGUGUAGCGGUGAAAUGCGUAGAGAUCGGGAGGAACAUCAGUGGCGAAGGCGGCCAUCUGGGACAACACUGACGCUGAAGCACGAAAGCGUGGGGAGCAAACAGG